GAAUUGAUAUUCUGUUGCCCGGCACGUCAUUGGUUGGCGCUUCAUCCGAUUCUUCAGCACAUCGUCCUCUCUUGCGGCUUGUUGCCCAAUCGGCGGUUGACCUCCGCAACCCCGAUAUCCUUGGCGCAAUUCCGCUCUCCUUGGCCCGAUGCCCGACGUCCGAAGCCUUCUGCCGUCCAAUAUCCUGACGUGAUCUCCUCCGGCGCAACAUCAAUUCCUCC
rnacentral:lncRNA from 1 species